UUGCAAGUCAGAUGUGAAAGCCUUCUGUUCAACGGAAGAAUUGCAUCUGAAACUGCUAAUCUUGAGUAUAGGAGGGGAGAAUGGAACUUCUGGUGGAGCGGUGAAAUGCGUAGAUAUCAGAAGGAACGCCGGCGGCGAAAGCGAUUCUCUGGCCUAUUACUGACACUCAGUGUGCGAAAGCUAGGGGAGCAAACGGGAUUAGAUACCCCGGUAGUCCUAGCUGUAAACGAUGGGCGCUAAGUAGAGGGGAUUACCUAUAUACUCUCUGCCGUAGCUAACGCAUUAAGUGCCCCGCCUGGGGGGUACGGCCGCAAGGCUAAAACUCAAAAGAAUUGACGGGGGCUCGCACAAGCGGUGGAGCAUGUGGCUUAAUUCGGUGCAACGCGAAAAACCUUACCGGGGCUUGACAUGAUAGAAGUAGGAACCUGAAAGGGGGACGAACGGUAUCCAGUCCGUAGCUAUUACAGGUGUUGCAUGGCUGUCGUCAGCUCGUGUCGUGAGACGUUGGGUUAAGUCCCCUAACGAGCGAAACCCUUGUUUUUAGUUACCAGCGGGUUAUGCCGGGUACUCUAGAAAGACUGCCGUCGUCAAGACGGAGGAAGGUGGGGAUGACGUCAAGUCAUCAUGGCCCUUAUGCCCCGGGCUGCACACGUGCUACAAUGGUCGGUACAGACGGAAGCGAAG
rnacentral:rRNA from 1 species